ensembl:lncRNA
CGCUGAGAUUCCGGGCCCGGCGGCCGCGGGGAGCGGGUGCCAGUUAGGAACGGGGUUGCUGAUCUCCUCGUUUGCGUUUUGGGGGUUCCUUUUGUUCAUAGCAGCAGUAGAUAAAUGAGACCCUAGCUGCCUGAAAACUGAGACCCAGCCCGUUUGGUACAGCCACGCCGCCGCCAAGCUCUCCAGUGCCGGAGGAGGCCCCGAGGUUCGCUGCCCCAGGCCCGGACUCCAACCAGGACACCUCUCCCUGACGAUCCGGGGCCCAACCCUAACAGCAAGUACAGUUCUGAGAAUUGUGGAACUUCAUCCUUUCAUUUUAAGACAUUCCUGCCUUUGCUUGAUGGAAUCCUGUGACACGUCAGCAGAGGCCAAUAACUGUUCAAAACAUCACUUCCAACAUUAUCCUGUGGCACUGAUACUUACUCCCAGAAUUGCACAACAGAGUGGAAUGUAUUUUCUGCCAUAAAAGGGGAGUUUAGGAGAGUGAUUCCUUCUUGAAGCCUCUUUUUCUCCUUGCCUCCCCCACCCGCCAAAGUGAAAGGCUUGCAAAGACUCCUUGCUUCGUGCUUUUCUGCCCGUCUGCCUCCUGCACCCUGGUUCCUCUCCACAUCUGGACCCUGGACCUGAAGCUAUGAAGAGCCUCUUCUUCCCUAGGGAAGGUUCCUGACUCUCCCCUCUCUCCCAUCUGAGGAUGGCUUAUUUUGGAUCUGGGCUGUCUUCCCUUGCACAUUCUUCAACUUUUAGCUCCAGGGCAGCAGAGAAAGGACAGGCCUGGGAAGACCCAGCUAUCUUGUUAGAAAG